rnacentral:rRNA from 1 species
AGUGAACGCUGGCGGUAGGCCUAACACAUGCAAGUCGAACGGCAGCACAGUAAGAGCUUGCUCUUACGGGUGGCGAGUGGCGGACGGGUGAGGAAUACAUCGGACUCUACUUUUUCGUGGGGGAUAACGUAGGGAAACUUACGCUAAUACCGCAUACGACCUACGGGUGAAAGCAGGGGAUCUUCGGACCUUGCGCGAUUGAAUGAGCCGAUGUCGGAUUAGCUAGUUGGGGGGGUAAAGGCCCACCAAGGCGACGAUCCGUAGCUGGUCGGAGAGGAUGAUCGGCCACACUGGAACUGAGACACGGUCCAGACUCCUACGGGAGGCAGCAGUGGGGAAUAUUGGACAAUGGGCGCAAGCCUGAUCCAGCCAUACCGCGUGGGUGAAGAAGGCCUUCGGGUUGUAAAGCCCUUUUGUUGGGAAAGAAAAGCAGCAGGUUAAUACCCCGCUGUUCUGACGGUACCCAAAGAAUAAGCACCGGCUAACUUCGUG